rnacentral:rRNA from 1 species
UACGUAGGGUGCAAGCGUUGUCCGGAAUUAUUGGGCGUAAAGAGCUCGUAGGCGGUCUGUCGCGUCGGCUGUGAAAACCCGGGGCUCAACCCCGGGCCUGCAGUCGAUACGGGCAGACUAGAGUGCGGUAGGGGAGACUGGAAUUCCUGGUGUAGCGGUGAAAUGCGUAGAUAUCAGGAGGAACACCGGUGGCGAAGGCGGGUCUCUGGGCCGUAACUGACGCUGAGGAGCGAAAGCGUGGGGAGCGAACAGG